GACGAACGCUGGCGGCGUGCUUAACACAUGCAAGUCGAACGGAAAGGCCCUGCUUUUGUGGGGUGCUCGAGUGGCGAACGGGUGAGUAAAACGUGAGUAACACGUACUUGUCUUUGGGAUAAAUUCUGGAAACAGGGGAUCAUACAGGAUAGGAGAUAUUGCUGCACGGUGGGGGUUGGUAAGAUGCGGCGGUUGGGGAUGGAAUAGCGGCUUAUCGGCUUGUUGGUGGGGUAGUGGCUUACAAAGGCUUUGAAGGGUAGCCGGCCUGGGAGGGGGACCGGCCACAAUAGUACUGAGAUACGGCGCAGUCUGCAACGGGAGGCAACAGUGGGGAAUAUUACGCAAUGGGCCGGAGCGUGAUGCGGCGGCGCCGCGUUCGUGAUACCGGCCUACGAGUUGUGAACCACUUUCGAAGGUGACGAGGCGUGAUUGACGGUAAUUGGUAAGAAAGCCCCGGCUAACUACGUG
rnacentral:rRNA from 1 species